AUUGAACGCUGGCGGCAUGCCUUACACAUGCAAGUCGAACGGUAACAGGUUAAGCUGACGAGUGGCGAACGGGUGAGUAAUAUAUCGGAACGUGCCCAGUCGUGGGGGAUAACUGCUCGAAAGAGCAGCUAAUACCGCAUACGACCUGAGGGUGAAAGCGGGGGAUCGCAAGACCUCGCGCGAUUGGAGCGGCCGAUAUCAGAUUAGCUAGUUGGUGGGGUAAAAGCCUACCAAGGCAACGAUCUGUAGCUGGUCUGAGAGGACGACCAGCCACACUGGGACGGAGACACGGCCCAGACUCCUACGGGAGGCAGCAGUGGGGAAUUUUGGACAAUGGACGAAAGUCUGAUCCAGCCAUGCCGCGUGCGGGAAGAAGGCCUUCGGGUUGUAAACCGCUUUUGUCAGGGAAGAAAAGGUUCUGGUUGAUACCUGGGACUCAUGACGGUACCUGAAGAAUAAGCACCGGCUAACUACGUGCCAGCCGCCGCCGUAA
rnacentral:rRNA from 1 species